UCAGAUUGAACGCUGGCGGCAGGCCUAACACAUGCAAGUCGAGCGGUAACAUUUCUAAGCUUGCUUAGAAGAUGACGAGCGGCGGACGGGUGAGUAAUGCUUGGGGAUCUGCCUGAUGGCGGGGGACAACCACUGGAAACGGUGGCUAAUACCGCAUAAUACCUAUGGGUCAAAGUGUGGGACCUUCGGGCCACACGCCAUCAGAUGAACCCAAGUGAGAUUAGCUGGUUGGUAAGGUAACGGCUUACCAAGGCGACGAUCUCUAGCUGGUCUGAGAGGAUGAUCAGCCACACUGGGACUGAGACACGGCCCAGACUCCUACGGGAGGCAGCAGUGGGGAAUAUUGGACAAUGGGGGCAACCCUGAUCCAGCCAUGCCGCGUGUGUGAAGAAGGCCUUCGGGUUGUAAAGCACUUUCAGUGGUGAGGAAGGUGGUGUCGUUAAUAGCGGCAUCAAUUGACGUUAGCCACAGAAGAAGCACCGGCUAACUCCGUGCCAGCAGCCGCGGUAAUACGGAGGGUGCGAGCGUUAAUCGGAAUUACUGGGCGUAAAGCGCACGUAGGCGGUAUGUUAAGCAAGAUGUGAAAGCCCAGAGCUCAACUCUGGAAUAGCAUUUUGAACUGGCAUGCUAGAGUUUUGGAGAGGGUGGUAGAAUUUCC
rnacentral:rRNA from 1 species